AGAGUUUGAUCCUGGCUCAGGACGAACGCUGGCGGCGUGCUUAACACAUGCAAGUCGAGCGAGACCCCUUCUUCGGGAGGGUGUUCUAGCGGCGAACGGGUGAGUAACACGUGGGCAACCUGCCCUCAGCUCUGGGAUAACUCCAAGAAAUUGGGGCUAAUACCGGAUAUGACCGCUGACCGCAUGGUCUGGUGGUGGAAAGAUUUAUCGGCUGGGGAUGGGCCCGCGGCCUAUCAGCUUGUUGGUGGGGUAGUGGCCUACCAAGGCGACGACGGGUAGCCGGCCUGAGAGGGUGACCGGCCACACUGGGACUGAGACACGGCCCAGACUCCUACGGGAGGCAGCAGUGGGGAAUAUUGCGCAAUGGGCGGAAGCCUGACGCAGCGACGCCGCGUGGGGGAUGACGGCCUUCGGGUUGUAAACCUCUUUCAGCAGGGACGAAGCGGAAGUGACGGUACCUGCAGAAGAAGCACCGGCCAACUACGUG
rnacentral:rRNA from 1 species